rnacentral:rRNA from 1 species
CCCGAAGAGUAUCCCAAGUAGCACGGGGCCCGAGAAAUCCCGUGUGAAUCUGUCAGGACCACCUGAUAAGCCUAAAUACUCCUACAUGACCGAUAGUGAACAAGUACCGUGAGGGAAAGGUGAAAAGUACCCCGGGAGGGGAGUGAAAUAGUACCUGAAACCGUUUGCUUACAAACCGUUGGAGCCAGCUUUGUUCUGGUGACAGCGUGCCUUUUGAAGAAUGAGCCUGCGAGUUAGUGAUAUGUGGCGAGCUUAACCCGAGAGGGGAAUGCGUAGCGAAAGCGAGUCUGAAUAGGGCGAUUCAGUCGCAUGUCCUAGACCCGAAGCGAAGUGAUCUAUCCAUGGCCAGGUUGAAGCGACGGUAAGACGUCGUGGAGGACCGAACCCACUUCAGUUGAAAAUGGAGGGGAUGAGCUGUGGAUAGGGGUGAAAGGCCAAUCAAACUUCGUGAUAGCUGGUUCUCUCCGAAAUGCAUUUAGGUGCAGCGUUGCGUGUUUCUUGCCGGAGGUAGAGCUACUGGAUGGCCGAUGGGGCCUAAAAGCUUACUGACGUCAGCCAAACUCCGAAUGCCGGUAAGUGAGAGCGCAGCAGUGAGACGGUGGGGGAUAAGCUUCAUCGUCGAGAGGGAAACAACCCAGACCACCAACUAAGGUCCCAAAGCGCGUGCUAAGUGGGAAAGGAUGUGGAGUUGCACAGACAACCAGGAGGUUGGCUUAGAAGCAGCCACCCUUGAAAGAGUGCGUAAUAGCUCACUGGUCAAGUGAUUCCGCGCCGACAAUGUAACGGGGCUCAAGCACGCCACCGAAGUUGUGGCAUUGAUAUUUUUGGUAAGCCGCACCCUUGUGGUGUUGGUUCAGCCGUGUUGAUGGGUAGGAGAGCGUCGUGUGGCCAGCGAAGCGGCGGUGUAAACCAGCCGUGGAGGCUACACGAGUGAGAAUGCAGGCAUGAGUAGCGAAAGACGGGUGAGAAACCCGUCCUCCGAAAGAUCAAGGUUUCCAGGGCCAGGCUAAUCCGCCCUGGGUAAGUCGGGACCUAAGGCGAGGCCGACAGGCGUAGUCGAUGGACAACGGGUUUAUAUUCCCGUACUGGCGAAAAACCGUCCAAGCUAAUCCAGUAAUGCUAAGCAUCUGAAUCCCACUGACCAAAGCCUUCGGGUGGAGGGAGUGGGCCUAGCGUGCGACCCUAUGCUGGUGCGGUUAGCGUAUUAACAGGUGUGACGCAGGAAGGUAGCUGAGCCGGGCGAUGGUUGUCCCGGUCUAAGGAUGUAGGCCGAGAGAUAGGCAAAUCCGUCUCUCAUGAAGGCUGAGACCCGAUGGGUAGUCCUCACGGACGAAAUCAGUGAUCCUAUGCUGCCAAGAAAAGCAUCGACGCGAGGUUUUAGUCACCCGUACCCCAAACCGACUCAGGUGAUCAGGUAGAGAAUACUAAGGAGAUCGAGAGAAUCGUGGUUAAGGAACUCGGCAAAAUGCCCCCGUAACUUCGGGAGAAGGGGGGCCUGAGGCGUGAACGGACUAGCUCCGGGAGCGUUCGAAGGCCGCAGAGACCAGUGGGAAGCGACUGUUUACUAAAAACACAGGUCCGUGCCAAGUCGCAAGACGAUGUAUACGGACUGACGCCUGCCCGGUGCUGGAAGGUUAAGAGGAACGGUUAGCCGCAAGGCGAAGCUGAGAAUUUAAGCCCCAGUAAACGGCGGUGGUAACUAUAACCAUCCUAAGGUAGCGAAAUUCCUUGUCGGGUAAGUUCCGACCUGCACGAAUGGCGUAACGACUUCCCAGCUGUCUCAACCGCGAACUCGGCGAAAUUGCAUUACGAGUAAAGAUGCUCGUUACGCGCAGCAGGACGGAAAGACCCCGUGACCUUUACUACAGCUUGGUAUUGGUGUUCGGUGUGGCUUGUGUAGGAUAGGUGGGAGACU